rnacentral:siRNA from 1 species
AUGAAAUUGGAUAAACAGGUGAAA